rnacentral:rRNA from 1 species
UGGGGAAUUUUGCGCAAUGGGCGAAAGCCUGACGCAGCAACGCCGCGUGUGUGAUGAAGGUCUUCGGAUUGUAAAGCACUUUCGACCGGGACGAAAACCCGUCUCCUAACAUGAGACGGUUUGACGGUACCGGGAGAAGAAGCACCGGCUAACUCUGUGCCAGCAGCCGCGGUAAUACAGAGGGUGCAAGCGUUGUUCGGAAUUAUUGGGCGUAAAGCGCGUGUAGGCGGCGACUGCAAGUCGGGUGUGAAAUCCCUCAGCUUAACUGAGGAAGUGCGCCCGAAACUGCAGCGCUUGAGUGCCGGAGAGGGUGGCGGAAUUCCCCAAGUAGAGGUGAAAUUCGUAGAUAUGGGGAGGAACACCGGUGGCGAAGGCGGCCACCUGGACGGUGACUGACGCUGAGACGCGAAAGCGUGGGGAGCAAACAG